UCGAAACAAGACGAGAAGUGAACUGUAAAUUUUUGACUUUAUUUCAAAGUCAUCCUCAGACAGAAUGACAGAAUUGCUCGUCUGUAUGUAUAGUAUUACCGUUUGAGGUUCUUGAAAAUUUUGCAUUGAAAAAUGCAACUGAUUGAACAAUCUGCGUUAUAUCUUUGUACAUAUUUUGUGCCAUCAUCAACAACGAAUUGUUUGUAUUUCUAUUUCAAAAUCGAGCGACGUUUAAUAUUAUGACUUCAUUUAGAUAAAUCCCAUUUCACCACCAACCAAUGUUGUCAUGACAACAACAAUGAAUCGAGAAGAAGGUUUGAAAGCUUUGGAAACAUCUAUCAAAGCCAUUGAAGAAGUCAUUAUGAACAAGAAAGGAACAUUUGUUUUACAACAACCUCGUCAGAGAAAAGAAUAAAACAAGCAGAGUUUGUCAUGUUCUUAUUCCUGAUGAACUAUAAAUAUCUAUAAUUUGUACAAGUUUGCCGUGAACAUAAUGAUAAUUGAAAUAUUAACUAAUUAGAACAAAUGUACUUUUCGAUGUCGUAUUUUCUAUUUGUGAAAAACCAAAUUUUUAUUGCCUCUUAUUGCGCUCUUAUGCCUUAUUUACAUAACAAAUGUAACCGAAUUUCCCGCUUCAAAUGUAACCGAAUUUCCCGCUUCAUUACCAUUUUACCAUUACGUCACAAACCAUUUUCACGACAGACUUCGAAUAAGAAUCGGUGCAUACUCUUGUAGAGUAUUUCUCAUUGUAAUCCGUCAGAGUCAGACCUAUUUUGUGAAGUAUAUGAGAUUUGUACUUCAGAAGAGAGGUUGCUGUGAGAGCCAUGGAUAAUUUGCCUGAUGAAACUUCGAAGAACACGAAAAGUUCAGAAAAUGAGCAAAAUAACCAAAGCAAUGGUGAGGAAAACUUUCAAGAUCGUCUUGGAGAAGUGAGAGCGGAAAUGGGAAAUGGUACUGGAGGUUAUCUCAUACCAGAGAGCCGUAUUGAAGAAUUCAAUUGUUCGCCUUACAUACCAGAAGAACUUUAAAUUGACUUUGGCCUGAUGAAUUAGAACCUUCAUAUUUAGAAAUAACCACUCACCUUAUAUGUUUUACAGUUUUACUAUACUCAUUUCAAUUAAAUGUAAGUCAUUUAUCUCUAUUAAUAUAUUUAAGUAUCACAUUCAUUAUUUAUUAUCGUAAAAAUAACCAUGCACUGUAUAAUAAUGUAAAAUGCGAACUCUUCAAAACGCAUUCUUUUUCAAAAACGGAAACUUUCAAGGACAUAUUUGUUUACAUCUUGCGUAGCUAAUUGACAAUUAAUUAAUGUAGCCAUUUAAUAACUUUCUUUAAACUUUUGUAUGUAAAUAUAUAUUUAUUUUUCUAUUUAUGUCAUUAUUAACUUUGAAUGAAAUGAUAAUUUUCGAUGUAA